rnacentral:rRNA from 1 species
UACGUAGGGAGCAAGCGUUGUCCGGAAUCAUUGGGCGUAAAGCGCGCGUAGGUGGCCCCAUAAGUCCGCUGUGAAAGUCAAAGGCUCAACCUUUGAAAGCCGGUGGAUACUGUGGGACUAGAGUACGGAAGAGGCGAGUGGAAUUCCUGGUGUAGCGGUGGAAUGCGCAGAUAUCAGGAGGAACACCAACGGCGAAGGCAGCUCGCUGGGACGGAACUGACGCUAAGGCGCGAAAGCGUGGGGAGCGAACAGG